GGUUAAGUGACUAAGCGUACACGGUGGAUGCCUUGGCAGUCAGAGGCGAUGAAAGACGUAGUAACUUGCGAUAAGCCCAGAUUAGGUAGUAACAACCAUUUGAGUCUGGGAUUUCUGAAUGGGGAAACCCACUUACAUAAGUAAGUAUCAUUAACUGAAUACAUAGGUUAAUGAGGCGACGGGGGAACUGAAACAUCUAAGUACCCCGAGGAAAAGAAAUCAACCGAGAUUCCGAAAGUAGCGGCGAGCGAAAUUGGACUAGCCCUUAAGCUUUACACGCGUUAGACGAACGGUCUGGAAAGUCCGACGAUACAGGGUGAUAGUCCCGUAGUUGACGACGUGUGUUCAGUGAAAUCGAGUAGGGCGGGACACGUGAUAUCCUGUCUGAAUAUGGGGGGACCAUCCUCCAAGGCUAAAUACUACUGACUGACCGAUAGUGAACCAGUACCGUGAGGGAAAGGCGAAAAGAACCCCUGUGAGGGGAGUGAAAUAGAACCUGAAACCGUGUACGUACAAGCAGUAGGAGCAGGCUUUGUCCUGUGACUGCGUACCUUUUGUAUAAUGGGUCAGCGACUUAUAUUCAGUGGCAAGGUUAACCAUCUAGGGGAGCCGUAGGGAAACCGAGUCUUAACUGGGCGUUCAGUCUCUGGAUAUAGACCCGAAACCAGGUGAUCUAGCCAUGGGCAGGUUGAAGGUUGAGUAACAUCAACUGGAGGACCGAACCGACUAAUGUUGAAAAAUUAGCGGAUGACUUGUGGCUAGGGGUGAAAGGCCAAUCAAACCUGGAGAUAGCUGGUUCUCCCCGAAAGCUAUUUAGGUAGCGCCUCGGACGAAUACUACUGGGGGUAGAGCACUGUUAAGGCUAGGGGGUCAUCCCGACUUACCAACCCUUUGCAAACUCCGAAUACCAGUAAGUACUAUCCGGGAGACACACGGCGGGUGCUAACGUCCGUCGUGGAGAGGGAAACAACCCAGACCGCCAGCUAAGGUCCCAAAUUACUACUAAGUGGGAAACGAUGUGGGAAGGCUCAGACAGCCAGGAUGUUGGCUUAGAAGCAGCCAUCAUUUAAAGAAAGCGUAAUAGCUCACUGGUCGAGUCGGCCUGCGCGGAAGAUGUAACGGGGCUAAGUAGUAAACCGAAGCUGCGGCAAUGUGCUUUUGCACAUUGGGGUAGGGGAGCGUUCUGUAAGCGGUUGAAGGUGUGUGGUAACGCAUGCUGGACGUAUCAGAAGUGCGAAUGCUGACAUGAGUAACGAUAAAGGGGGUGAAAAAACCUCCUCGCCGGAAGACCAAGGGUUCCUGUCCAACGUUAAUCGGGGCAGGGUAAGUCGACCCCUAAGGCGAGGCCGAAAGGCGUAGUCGAUGGGAAACGGGUUAAUAUUCCCGUACUUCUUACAAUUGCGAUGGGGGGACGGAGAAGGCUAGGUGGGCCUGGCGACGGUUGUCCAGGUUCAAGUGCGUAGGCUUAAGAGUUAGGUAAAUCCGGCUCUUUUUAAGGCUGAGACACGACGUCGAGCACCUACGGGUGUGAAGUCAUUGAUGCCAUGCUUCCAGGAAAAGCCUCUAAGCUUCAGAUUGUAAGGAAUCGUACCCCAAACCGACACAGGUGGUCGGGUAGAGAAUACCAAGGCGCUUGAGAGAACUCGGGUGAAGGAACUAGGCAAAAUGGUACCGUAACUUCGGGAGAAGGUACGCUCUCGACGGUGAAGUCCCUCGCGGAUGGAGCUAUUGAGAGUCGCAGAUACCAGGUGGCUGCAACUGUUUAUUAAAAACACAGCACUGUGCAAAAUCGUAAGAUGACGUAUACGGUGUGACGCCUGCCCGGUGCCGGAAGGUUAAUUGAUGGGGUUAGACUUCGGUCGAAGCUCUUGAUCGAAGCCCCGGUAAACGGCGGCCGUAACUAUAACGGUCCUAAGGUAGCGAAAUUCCUUGUCGGGUAAGUUCCGACCUGCACGAAUGGCGUAAUGAUGGCCACGCUGUCUCCACCCGAGACUCAGUGAAAUUGAAAUCGCUGUGAAGAUGCAGUGUACCCGCGGCUAGACGGAAAGACCCCGUGAACCUUUACUACAGCUUGGCACUGAACAUUGACCCUACAUGUGUAGGAUAGGUGGGAGGCUUUGAAGCACGUACGCCAGUAUGUGUGGAGCCGUCCUUGAAAUACCACCCUUGUAGUGUUGAUGUUCUAACGUCGACCCCUUAUCGGGGUUGCGGACAGUGCCUGGUGGGUAGUUUGACUGGGGCGGUCUCCUCCCAAAGAGUAACGGAGGAGCACGAAGGUGGGCUAAUCACGGUUGGACAUCGUGAGGUUAGUGCAAUGGCAUAAGCCCGCUUGACUGCGAGAAUGACAAUUCGAGCAGGUGCGAAAGCAGGUCAUAGUGAUCCGGUGGUUCUGAAUGGAAGGGCCAUCGCUCAACGGAUAAAAGGUACUCCGGGGAUAACAGGCUGAUACCGCCCAAGAGUUCAUAUCGACGGCGGUGUUUGGCACCUCGAUGUCGGCUCAUCACAUCCUGGGGCUGAAGUCGGUCCCAAGGGUAUGGCUGUUCGCCAUUUAAAGUGGUACGCGAGCUGGGUUUAGAACGUCGUGAGACAGUUCGGUCCCUAUCUGCCGUGGGCGUUGGAAGAUUGAAGGGGGCUGCUCCUAGUACGAGAGGACCGGAGUGGACGAACCUCUGGUGUUCGGGUUGUGUCGCCAGACGCAUUGCCCGGUAGCUAAGUUCGGAAUCGAUAACCGCUGAAAGCAUCUAAGCGGGAAGCGAGCCCUGAGAUGAGUCUUCCCUGAUACUUUAAGUAUCCUAAAGGGUUGUCGGAGACUACGACGUUGAUAGGUCAGGUGUGUAAGUGCUGUGAGGCAUUGAGCUAACUGAUACUAAUUGCCCGUGAGGCUUAACCAU
rnacentral:rRNA from 1 species